ACUCGCUCUCCGUCCCGGCCGCCCAGCGGUUCCCCUUUCCGUGGCCUGGGCAGGCGCUGAGGCACAGGGAGCCGCACGUUCCCGAGGCACAGGGAGCCGCACGUUCCCGAGGCACAGGGAGCCGCACGUUCCCGGGGAAGGUGCCAGAGGCCAGCUGGACGGCCCCGGCGCACUCCCGCCCCGGCGCACUCCCGCCCCGGCGCACUCCGACCCCGGCGCACUCCCGCCCCGGCGCACCCUGCUCCCCGGCGCGUACCCAGGGGCCACGAUUUUGGCUGGGCGAAAGCGGCCCGCUCCCGCCUCUCCUUGAGUGCGCUGAUUACAUCUACCGGAGACACCUUCCCUUCCCUUGGGGAUCCCAACUCUCAGCUCUUCAGAAAGCAAUGACAAGGCAUCUGACUCAUCCUCCUGCACCUCUUUUCAAUUACUGACUUAAACCAGAUUACAGUUGCUGUCAGGCUUGAAGACUGAGACUUACUGAUACGUGUAUCCUAGAAGUACCUGACACAGUAACACACUGCCUUACCUUGGGAGAGAGAAAAGGAGCUGCUUACAGAAGAUGCUCCCUGGGGCAGCAGAGGCCAGAG
rnacentral:lncRNA from 1 species